rnacentral:tRNA from 1 species
GGGAGUGUGGUCUAGUGGUAUGAUACCCGCUUUGGGAAUUUCUUCUCGAACAUGCGGGUGGCCCGGGGUUCAAUUCCCCGCUCUCCCC